rnacentral:rRNA from 1 species
AGGAUGCGAGCGUUAUCCGGAUUUAUUGGGUUUAAAGGGUGCGUAGGCGGACUGGAAAGUCAGCGGUAAAAUCGAGAGGCUCAACCUCUUUCCGCCGUUGAAACUGUCGGUCUUGAGUGGGCGAGAAGUAUGCGGGAUGCGUGGUGUAGCGGUGAAAUGCAUAGAUAUCACGCAGAACUCCGAUUGCGAAGGCAGCAUACCGGCGCCCGACUGACGCUGAGGCACGAAAGCGUGGGUAUCGAACAGGAUUAGAUACCCUGGUAGUCCACGCAGUAAACGAUGAAUACUAAUUGUCCGGUCAGAAUGAUGACUGGGUGAUACAGCGAAAGCGUUAAGUAUUCCACCUGGGGAGUACGCCGGCAACGGUG